rnacentral:rRNA from 1 species
CCUACGGGAGGCAGCAGUAGGGAAUCUUUCACAAUGGGCGAAAGCCUGAUGGAGCAACGCCGCGUGCAGGAUGAAGGCCUUCGGGUUGUAAACUGCUUUUAUAAGCGAGAAAUAUGAUGGUAACUUAUGAAUAAGGAUCGGCUAACUACGUGCCAGCAGCCGCGGUCAUACGUAGGAUCCGAGCAUUAUCCGGAGUGACUGGGUGUAAAGAGUUGCGUAGGUGGCAUAAUAAGUAGCUAGUGGAAUCUGGUGGCUCAACCAUUCAGACUAUUAGCUAAACUGUUAAGCUCGAGACCGUUAGAGGUAACUGGAAUUUCUAGUGUAGGAGUGAAAUCCGUAGAUAUUAGAAGGAACACCAAUAGCGUAGGCAGGUUGCUGGGACGGUUCUGACACUAAGGCACGAAAGCGUAGGGAGCAAACAGGAUUAGAUACCCGUGUAGUC